rnacentral:rRNA from 1 species
ACGAACGCUGGCGGCGUGGAUAAGACAUGCAAGUCGAACGAGAGAAUUGCUAGCUUGCUAAUAAUUCUCUAGUGGCGCACGGGUGAGUAACACGUGAGUAACCUGCCCCCGAGAGCGGGAUAGCCCUGGGAAACUGGGAUUAAUACCGCAUAGUAUCGAAAGAUUAAAGCAGCAAUGCGCUUGGGGAUGGGCUCGCGGCCUAUUAGUUAGUUGGUGAGGUAACGGCUCACCAAGGCGAUGACGGGUAGCCGGUCUGAGAGGAUGUCCGGCCACACUGGAACUGAGACACGGUCCAGACACCUACGGGUGGCAGCAGUCGAGAAUCAUUCACAAUGGGGGAAACCCUGAUGGUGCGACGCCGCGUGGGGGAAUGAAGGUCUUCGGAUUGUAAACCCCUGUCAUGUGGGAGCAAAUUAAAAAGAUAGUACCACAAGAGGAAGAGACGGCUAACUCUGUGCCAGCAGCCGCGGUAAUACAGAGGUCUCAAGCGUUGUUCGGAAUCACUGGGCGUAAAGCGUGCGUAGGCUGUUUCGUAAGUCGUGUGUGAAAGGCGCGGGCUCAACCCGCGGACGGCACAUGAUACUGCGAGACUAGAGUAAUGGAGGGGGAACCGGAAUUCUCGGUGUAGCAGUGAAAUGCGUAGAUAUCGAGAGGAACACUCGUGGCGAAGGCGGGUUCCUGGACAUUAACUGACGCUGAGGCACGAAGGCCAGGGGAGCGAAAGGGAUUAGAUACCCCUGUAGUCCUGGCAGUAAACGGUGCACGCUUGGUGUGCGGGGAAUCGACCCCCUGCGUGCCGGAGCUAACGCGUUAAGCGUGCCGCCUGGGGAGUACGGUCGCAAGAUUAAAACUCAAAGAAAUUGACGGGGACCCGCACAAGCGGUGGAGUAUGUGGCUUAAUUCGAUGCAACGCGAAGAACCUUACCUGGGCUUGACAUGUAAUGAACAACAUGUGAAAGCAUGCGACUCUUCGGAGGCGUUACACAGGUGCUGCAUGGCCGUCGUCAGCUCGUGUCGUGAGAUGUUUGGUUAAGACCAGCAACGAGCGCAACCCCUGUUGCCAGUUACCAGCACGUGAAGGUGAGGACUCUGGCGAGACUGCCCAGAUCAACUGGGAGGAAGGUGGGGACGACGUCAGGUCAGUAUGGCCCUUAUGCCCAGGGCUGCACACGUACUACAAUGCCCAGUACAGAGGGGGCCGAAGCCGCGAGGCGGAGGAAAUCCUGAAAACUGGGCCCAGUUCGGACUGUAGGCUGCAACCCGCCUACACGAAGCCGGAAUCGCUAGUAAUGGCGCAUCAGCUACGGCGCCGUGAAUACGUUCCCGGGUCUUGUACACACCGCCCGUCACAUCAUGGAAGCCGGUCGCACCCGAAGUAUCUGAAGCCAACCGCAAGGAGGCAGGGUCCUAAGGUGAGACUGGUAACUGGGAUG